GACUUGCCUACAUCAUCUCCUUCUCUACCUUCUUUUCAAAACAGCCGCCAGUAUCCUAUGUCACAGCCACGACAAGUUGACUCCAAACAGCUUGAACCCUUUGGUCAUAUUCAAAAGACACAUCUAACUCUAGUUCCCAAAGUUGGUACUCCUUCAUCGUUUGGAAUUUCUACACCAGAUCAUUCAACUCUACUUAGUGCAGAAACUUCAGGCCAGUCAAGCACAAGUAGUUUGUUGGCUGCUGUUAUGAGUAGUGGAAUUCUUUCUAAUAUAACCACUGUUAGCCUUCCUAAUCAAAGUUUUCAGGAUGUCAGGCAAAAUCCAUUGGACUUGAGCAUUCAGCCUUCUAUUCCAAGUGGGCCUCUUUCUCCCCAAAUUGCAUCUUCUGGGCCAAGGGUUAAGUCGGUAUCAGCUCCUCUGUCACAUGAUAUCACAUCGGUCACCUCAAAUGUUUCUCAAAGGAAAGAAGAGCAGCCUCCACUGCCUCGUGGUCCUCCACCUUCAUCUGUACAAACUUCAAGUGCAAUGAAUAAGGAAGAUAAUCAAAUAUCAAACCUUUUAAGCUCAUUAGUUGCCAAGGGUUUGAUAUCGGCAUCAAAGUCGGAGACAUUGUCUCUCUUACCGCCUCAGUUGCAUACUCAAUCACAGACACAGAACCUUUGCAUCGCCAACUCCAGCAACACAUCAACUUCUUCUCUUCCGGUUUCUUCUGCUAUUCCCUGUUCAUCCACCAAAGAUGAAGUUUCAUUGCCCAGGCCAGAUGCUAAAGAGUCUGUUGUGUUGCCUCAAUGCAUUUCAGCAGAGAUAAAAAGUCUCAUAGGAUUGGAGUUUAAAUCAGACAUAAUUCGAGAAUUACAUCCGCCUGUGAUAUGUUCACUCUUUGAUGAUCUUCUGCAUCAAUGCAGCAUAUGUGGCCUUAAACUUAAGCAUAAAGAGAGGCUUGAUAGGCACUUGGAGUGGCACACUUGGGGGAAGCCAGAACCAGAUGGUAUAAAUAAAAUUACAAGGAGAUGGUAUGCAUCUUCAGGGGACUGGAUUACUGGAAAGGCAGAGCUUCCAUUUAGAAUUGAGUCUUCUGUUUUCACAGAUGAGUUAGUGAGGACAAUGGAUGAGAAUGAACCUAUGGUUCCUGCAGAUGAAGAUCAAUGUGUAUGUGUCUUGUGUGGUGAGCUGUUUGAAGAUUAUUAUAGUCAUGAAAAGAAGAAAUGGAUGUUUAAAGCAGCAGUGCACUUGUCACUUACCUUGAGGGAUGGUGGGAUAGGAACUACAAGUGAGAAUGCUGAGGGUCCCAUCGUGCAUGUGAAUUGUAUAUCAGAAAGUUCAGUUCAUGACUUGGGGCUUGCAAGUGGUAUUGAAAUGGAUAAGGAUGGAUAAUUCCUCAAUUUGAAAACGAGACAGCAUGACUGAUUGGCAGGUAGAAGCUGACUGAGGAAUUUCAGGUUUACCAAUGCAUAAUUUUUAUGAAUGAGCAUAUGAUGAUAAUUUUGCUGUGCAUCAAAAUGGUGCUGAGAGCUGUUGUAAUAUUCCUGCUUGUUUUUGUAUUUUUAAAUCCUUUCCUCCUCCAUUUAUGGUCCAAUAGAAGUACAUAUGAAAGCCAGAUAGUUUACACCUAAACUUUCUUCACUAAUGUGGUUGAUGUGUUUUCCUUUUGAUGUGUUGUCUUUUAAUUUAUGGAAGAGGGUCUGCACGGAUGCCAUCAUCUUAUGCCAGCAACAAAAAAAGCACACUGACCAUUUCUCAUUCAGCUCCACAAUUGGC
rnacentral:misc_RNA from 1 species